GUUGAAGCGGGUGUGUCCGUCGGGUCGCAAGACUCGCAUGUGUAUGCAUUCCGCUCAGCCAUCUCUUCCGGUCGUUUCGGCCAGGUGCAGCAAUGUGCCCGGUCGGGAUCCGGAUCUUUUACUUUGAAAAAAUUAGAGUGUUUAAAGCAGGCUUACGCUAUUGAAUACAUUAGCAUGGAAUAAUAAUUUAGGACUUCUCGUCCUUUUGUUGGUUUUCCUAGGAUGAAAGUAAUGAUUGAUAGGGAUAGUUGGGGGUGCUAGUAUUUCGUCAACAGAGGUGAAAUUCUUGGACCGACGAAAGACUAACUUAUGCGAAAGCAUU
rnacentral:rRNA from 1 species